CAACAGUGAGGCAGGAACAGGUGGCAGGGAGUAACCAGGACCGACCCAAAGUGUGCAGGCGCCAGCAGUCAGAAGAGCGCCCCAGCUGGAUGGGAGGCCGGCUGCUCUGUGUACCAGGCGUCCCACUGUUGAGUCAUCAGUGACUCGGUCCAGAGGAGCCUCACGCGGGUGUGGGAUGCAGCCAGCCAGAAGAGCGAGCAUCCUGGGGCCUGGAGCAGCAGCCACGUGAGGACACAGGAGGAGGAGGGAACGCAUGCACUCGGUGGUAGCAGGCUUGCUAUUGCCUGACCAUGGAGCAGCCCGCCAGCCAGGAUGGGACCACAAGGGCUUCGGGACUUGGAACUGGCAGUGGGGUCCAGGGACACUGCUCACUGGAGGCAACGACACAGACACAGGAACCUGACCUUGAGGGGUCUCGCUGUGUAAUUCAGGCUGGCCUCAAACUCAAAGGCAAUCCUCCUGCCUCAGCCUCCUAAGUGAAAAUUAAGCUGCAUCCAAGAUGAACAAGAUCUUGUGAGGAACCAUCCAUCUACCGUGCCAUGCUGCUUUCUACCUAAGAAGAUCAGGUUGGGUGAUGCUAUCUAAGUAGUUAAAUAAACCAAGGAGAAGAUUAA
rnacentral:lncRNA from 1 species